rnacentral:rRNA from 1 species
AAACGACUCUGGCAACGGAUAUCUCGGCUCUCGCAUCGAUGAAGAACGUAGCGAAAUGCGAUACUUGGUGUGAAUUGCAGAAUCCCGUGAACCAUCGAGUCUUUGAACGCAAGUUGCGCCCGAAGCCUUUAGGCCAAGGGCACGUCUGCCUGGGCGUCACGCA